GUAAAAGUCCUAACAAGGUCUCCGUUGGUGAACCAGCGGAGGGAUCAUUAAAGAGUUGCAAAACUCCCAAACCAUUGUGAACAUACCUUCAACGUUGCUUCGGCGGGUUGGCCCCGGUCUCCGGGGUCCCCGGCCCUACUCGGGCGCCCGCCGGAGGUAUCUAACUCUUGAACUUUUAUGGCCUCUCUGAGUCUUUGUACUUAAUAAGUCAAAACUUUCAACAACGGAUCUCUUGGUUCUGGCAUCGAUGAAGAACGCAGCGAAAUGCGAUAAGUAAUGUGAAUUGCAGAAUUCAGUGAAUCAUCGAAUCUUUGAACGCACAUUGCGCCCGCCAGUAUUCUGGCGGGCAUGCCUGUUCGAGCGUCAUUUCAACCAUCAAGCCCCCGGCUUGUGUUGGGGACCUGCGGCUGCCGCAGGCCCUGAAAACCAGUGGCGGGCUCGCUAGUCACUCCGAGCGUAGUAAUACAUCUCGCUCAGGGCGUGCUGCGGGUUCCGGCCGUUAAAAAGCCUUAUUUACCCAAGGUUGACCUCGGAUCAGGUAGGAACACCC
rnacentral:rRNA from 1 species